rnacentral:tRNA from 1 species
GGAGGCAUUUGGCUAAGUGAAAGUAAGCGGUCUUGAAAACCGUCGUGGCGGCGACGUCACCGAGGGUCCAAAUCCCUCAGCCUCCG